rnacentral:rRNA from 1 species
UGAGGAAUAUUGGUCAAUGGGCGAAAGCCUGAACCAGCCAAGUCGCGUGAAGGACGAAGGCCCUAUGGGUCGUAAACUUCUUUUGGACGGGAGUAAAAUCAGGGAUGUAUCCCUGAUUGCAAGUACCGUCAGAAUCAGCAUCGGCUAACUCCGUGCCAGCAGCCGCGGUAAUACGGAGGAUGCAAGCGUUGUUCGGAAUUACUGGGCGUAAAGCGCACGCAGGCGGCGUGACGCGUCAGAAGUGAAAUCCCCGGGCUCAACCUGGGAACUGCUUUUGAAACGGUCAUGCUUGAAUCAUGGAGAGGGUAGCGGAAUUCCGAGUGUAGAGGUGAAAUUCGUAGAUAUUCGGAAGAACACCGGUGGCGAAGGCGGCUACCUGGCCAUGUAUUGACGCUCAGGUGCGAAAGCGUGGGGAGCAAACA